CACCACCCAGGCUCUCUAGCCUUUGGCUGGGUGCAACUUCCAUUUUAGGUGUUGGAUCUGAGAGAAAAAAAAGGAGAGAGGGAGAGAGAGAGAGAAGAGUAGGAAAGAUCCUGAAAGGAGGAAGAGGUGGCGAAAAAUCAACUGCCUUGCUGGAUUUGUCUUUCUCAACUCGUUGACGAAGCCUUGGAUUUCUUUCCUAAAGGACUGGUUUUUAGAAGUCCACGUUUGAGGGAGUUGGAGCAGCCCAGAUCAGUUUCAGCCUUGCUGUUCCUGGGUGGAUCCCUCUUACUUUUCCAGGUGUGGUGGGUGGGAGCCUUAUUCUCCUGCUAGAUCUAGCCUCCGUGCUUUGCCUUAUAAAAGAAAACAAAUGGAUCCAUGUUAACUGAAUUGCCAUUCCCUUCCUCUUUAAACUACCUUUGAUUGCAAAGAUUUGUGGAGGUGUUGUAUGUUCAGUCUGCAAGUACAGUAAUGUUUGGUUUAUGUCCUUAAAGGGAUAAGGAAAUUCUAAGCAUGUUUUUUAGUUCACCUGAGUAAAGUGGCAACACACCUGGAAACAUUUUCAGCUUUGUGCUCUCUGAAAUGGCCUUGGAUUAAAUAAGGUUAGGCUAAGAGAAAACACGUACAGACUUUGGUGUUGAGAAUGCAUUUGAGAAAGAACAAGGGGAAUUCUUAUCUUUAAACCAAACUGAAAGUUGUUUUCUUGGAGGUGAGUUUUUUGUUUGGUUAAUUUGCUGUGAAAUCAAAAGUCUGUAAGAGCUGAAGGCCCAUGAGUGCUUUCAUAUCUUAUAUUUAAUCUUAAGGUAUGCUUUGUUUUUGCAAAUACAUUCUUGCAAAAAUACUGAUUCUAGGUAAUUAUAUAGCCAACUCAUCAGUAGCUGAAAACUGGGUGUUCUCUUCCUUCUCCCUUUGAAAAUGCGAAUCAGUCUGAAAAUUCUGGUUGGAAUAGAUACUGCCCUAAUUGUAACAAGAUGGACCUUAAUAUGUAAGCUGCUCAUUAGCUUUAAACUGGUAUGUAUCUUUAGUAAUCCUCUGGUUUCGUGCCUCCCUCCUCCCAAUUCUUUUUAGAGUAGAACUCUUCCUUGAAUUUGUUUUCUAGAAUGAAAGUAUUUCUUGAAAGGUGAUUUCAUCUUUGUGAGGUUGUGGCUUCAGGGGAAACAGAACUUUGUUCCUCC
rnacentral:lncRNA from 1 species